GACCUCGUGGCGCAACGGUAGCGUGUCUGACUCCAGAUCAGAAGGUUGAAGUGUUCAAAUCACGUCGUGGUCA
rnacentral:tRNA from 1 species